rnacentral:sRNA from 1 species
ACUGAGAACAAAUGGGAUAUUUUUUCCAUGAUGAGGAAAAAAAACCCCAACCCUGAGAGAGAUUCAGUGGGGAUAGCGGGAGACGGAAAAGUUAGACCUUAGAGCACUUCUCUGCCAGCUCUUCUAUUCUUUUUUCAAGUCCCUUGUGGGCAAGGAUGUGGUCGUGGAACUAAAGAAUGACCUGAGAGUCUUGCCCUGUCGCCCAGGCUGGA